rnacentral:rRNA from 1 species
UAUUGCGCAAUGGGCGAAAGCCUGACGCAGCGACGCCGCGUGAGGGAUGAAGGUUUUCGGAACGUAAACCUCUGUCAGAAGGGAAGAAAGUGCGUGGUGCUAAUCAGCCGCGUAUUGACGGUACCUUCACAGGAAGCACCGGCUAACUCCGUCCCAGCAGCCGCGGUAAUACGGACGGUGCGAGCGUUAAUCGGAAUUACUGGGCGUAAAGCGCACGUAGGCUGUUGGGUAAGUCAGGGGGGAAAUCCCACGGCUCAACCGUGGAACUUCCCUUGAUACUGCAUGACUGGAAUCCGGGAGAGGGUGGCGGAAUUCCAGGUGUAGGAGUGAAAUCCGUAGAUAUCUGGAGGAACAUCAGUGGCGAAGGCGGCCACCUGGACCGGUAUUGACGCUGAGGUGCGAAAGCGUGGGGAGCAAACAGG